UUAGGCUGUGAGCAAGGCUGACCUGAAGCCCCCCCGCAAUGUCUGACUGACAUCAUACUGUAUCCGUCACUGCUAAACAGCAGCAGCCCUUUUGGGGGAGAAGAAAACCACUGGAAACAAACAGUAAUGUUAGGGUCCUCAAGGGAUACCUGCCAGAUGAAAGAAAAGCUAGCUAAGCCUUUUGGUGUAUAAAAAACAGCUCUGCACACACUAUAGAGGAAUGAAUACUACCAUGUGGUUAACUAGGAAGAGGAACUGGAGGUGCCACUGUCCGGGUCCCACAGGAAGGAGCUGGUAAAUGAAGCUCCAACAGAGCUAAACUACUCUUCCCCAAUUCAACCAAUCAAACCUAUAAAUGACUUUACUGAUAAGCACAGGCGCAGUUCGCAGUCGCUGCCCCCGCCCACACCUGAUGGAGGACUCUGGGGGGUAACCUCAGAAUGUUAGAAAACGGGAAGGAACCUGAAGGGCUGGAAACUC